rnacentral:lncRNA from 1 species
CCCCAGCUAACAAUUUACCACGACAGUUAAAAUAGAUAGGCCCUUAGGAUCUGUAUUAGAAGAUUCCAAAUUUCUCUCUGGACGAUUUUGCUCCGUCUCCAUAUCUGUUAAAUAUCUGGAACAUAUUGUCAUACAUUCCUCUGCAAGAUAGCCCUCGGUAAUUGAUCCUUCUGGUCGAGCAUUAUUGCGUACAUAUUUUUUUAAUGUG